rnacentral:misc_RNA from 1 species
CUCUAACUAUGGCAGAGAUAGUGUGCCCUCUUUGUAUAUUCUGUAGAAGGUCUAAUCAGAGUAUCCUACAUUAAUGUUGUGACGUGUUAUAUUUUUUUAAAAGCAAUAUCUGGGGAAGCGUGCAUUGCGUGCGGAAGGAAAAACGGCGAAUAAUACAGUGAAAGAAAAUGAUGCAGGAUGAAGAUUUGAGUGGUCCAGCUAGGCGGAAUGUCAUCAGCCAAGGAAUAACAAGAAUAUCACAGAUAUAUCAAAGAUAUCUAGAUCUAUGGACCCCGCAUGUAAUAUCAAGAUGGGUAUUUGCUCUAUUUCUAUUAGUCCUUUUUAUUCUGCGCAUAUUUAUCUCGCAAGGAUGGUACAUUGUCACGUAUGCAUUAGGAAUUUAUCAUCUCAAUUUAUUCAUAGCAUUCCUUACUCCAAAAAUUGAUCCUGCUAUGGAUUUCGAUGAUGGAGACGGUCCAGAGUUACCUACAAGGUCAAACGAGGAAUUCAGGCCAUUCAUCAGAAGAUUGCCUGAAUUCAAAUUCUGGUACUCUGUAACAAAGUCCACGGUUGUCGCCAUGAUAUGCACGCUGUUUGAUUGCUUUAAUAUACCAGUAUUCUGGCCGAUACUCGUUAUGUAUUUCAUAACAUUGUUCUGUAUAACGAUGAAGCGACAAAUAAAGCAUAUGAUCAAGUAUAGAUACUUGCCUUUCACUCAUGGCAAGCCGAAAUAUCAGAACCAUGAGGACACUUCACGAUCGUUAAAGUGAAUCGAAGUAAAGGAUACGCUUAAAUCUGUACGGAAGCAUAAGCGCGUAGAUUUCAAUUUCUCCUAGACCAACGCGGGAGUCAUUAGUAAGAAAAGGAAAACAAUUCCAAGAAAGAACUCUUUUUAACGUUAUCAAAGAGGAAGGACAUUGCCUUGUACAAGAAGCGAAUCUGCGUGUGAGACGUAACUCUAAAAAAAAUUAUAUAAUAUACUAUAUAUAUAUAUAUAUAAAUAUAAACUGAAUUUAUCGUAAUAUGUUUGUAUUAUAAAACUUGUACAAAGUAUUGUUAGCUUUUAUCUCAGUAAAGAAGAGAAAACAGAGAGAGAGAGAAGAGUAAUAUGGUCACAGUAUCGAUUUCGAGCAGUACGCAGUUGUCAAUGUAGUACUAUGAAUGAAUGUAAGAAAUUCGUAUACGCAUAAGAGAAUCCGUUAAUAUAAUCAAAUUCGUUUCUGUUUUUAGAGGAAGUAUCGUUUCUUAACAUGUACAUUCCGCAUGUGCGUUUCUUCGUAUCUUUAGGAUAAGCCACCAUUUUUUCAAAUUUUACCUGGAUUUUUCCAUAGUCUGUCCUCGUCUUUAACGAGAAAUAUCAGAACACAAAAUACUCUGCGAACAAAAAAAUCAGAUUUAGCAUUAUUAAGAAUUAAUAAAAAGAAAAGUUUAGUCGCGUCGCAAUGUUUUAUUAACCGAAUUGACGUUUCGCAUUUUGCUUCUAGUCUCUUAAAAUCUUAUUUUAUAAUUUGAUAUCGUAAAGAGCUUCAUGUGUGUUGCAACGAUAUAUUCUUUGGUAUUCAUAUGGCACAGUAACAUGGCGUAGGUGACAUUUAUUUAUUCACUCGUUGCUAAAUUAAAUAAUUACGUGAAUAUAUUGCACGGGAAUUCUUGUCCAUCAUGAUAACUUAAUUCAGAAUAUUAAAAAUAGCUUUCAAUUAUUGAUACUGGAUGUCAAAUCGAUGCAUAUAUUGAAAGUAUACACAUAAAUGGGAAAUAUCUUUUAACUUUGUUGGAGAUAUAUGUAUUAUAUUUUAUCAAUAACUUAAACAUUAUUGAAUCUUUGCAAAGAUGAAAAUUUUAGAAAAUGCGUUUGUAUUAUUUCAGACUUUACCACGGAAACGUCGCGUUUGACUGAUGGAAAAUUAAAAAUUGCAAUCACGUGUAUUUCUAAUUUAAUUCUAUGCUUCAAUGAUGUAAUAGCCCAUGUUUCUGUUUCUUAAUAUUGCAGAAUGAGAGAUAAGGGAUUGAAUGUAAAACUGUGUUUUAUACAUACAUAUAUAUAAAUGCAAUGAAUUUGUGCCGUAAUAUUAUGCACUUCACAUGCCGCGAGAGAAACGACGUUCAGAAAAAACUAAGGUUUAUACUAGCAGAGUUUUGAGUUGGCAAUUACAACACAUUACAACUGCUUACGUAAGCACGUGUAAAAUGUAUAAGAGCGGGGAUUAGCUAGCACAUUCUUAAGAAAAAGGAAAGUUUUAUAUAUUAAUAUUAAAUACAUUACAUUGUCCAAAGAUGUUUAGCGGAGCGUGUAGCUGUAUGAACUUUGAUAAUUCUUUCGUUUCCACAAAUUUUAUUUAUGUGCGAUUAUCUGUAUACAUACAUAUACAUAUACAUUUUUAAAGAAGUGUUCCACAGAACUUGACAAAAUUUCUAUAUGCUGGCUUAUUCUACAUUUUAUUAUGUAAAAGAGAUCGUUUUAUUUAAAAUAUGUGCAAACGAAAAAAUAAAAUCUUCAAUGAAUUCUGUCUUUUACUCUCAAAGUUACGUAUGUUGAUUCAUGUAAAUAACUUGUACACCUUGUUUUCGCAGAAUCCAUUUUAAUUUUAAUAUUAAUACAGCAUUAAACGUCAUUACAAAG